rnacentral:rRNA from 1 species
AUGGGUUUGCCUCAGGUUCCUGCAAUUAAGGAGGAGGAGCCUCCUAAGCUGAGUACAUGUGUAGUUAGUCCUUGUUUUGGUAGUAGUGAUAAUAGUGAUUUGGGCAGGCUUCCCACCGGAGGCUCAAAUAACAGGGCAUUUCAAUACCCAUCCAUCAGCGAUCUGAAGAGAAAAGCUGCGUUAGAUUCUCUGAAUGGUUUUGAUGGAAAUUUUGGAGCCAGCCAUGCUGUCGAUGGGCCUGCAGGCUCCCAAGGCCUAAAACCUGAUUUGAGGAAUCCAACUUCUAGAUCAUGCCCUAAGUUGCGACCUUCUGUUCAGAUGCCUGCGAGGAGAGUUAUUGGGUUUGAAUCAGGUUUUGCUGGUUUCAAGGGAGAUUCUGAUACAAUGGUAGCUGACAAAAUGCAUUCAUCUUUAGUCAUCAACACUUGCCAUUCAUCUAUUGAACAGCAUGGGCCUCAAGCAAGGAAAAGGGUGUUAUCGCCUUUAACUAAUGUGCUCCAUGGACACUUCAGCGGCGAUGCGCUAAAUAUUGGUUCUGCUGAUGCCCAAAUGCAGCAUUCUGACCAAGUUAGGCAAUUUUGCAGCUCUGGAUUUCAAGAUUGUAAAAAAGCCCACACUGCGUCUCUUGACUCGUUUGAGUCACCUACUUGGCCAGCCUUCAGACACUCCAGUUGGAGCAAAACACAGGUAGUUGAUAAGUUUAGCAGUAAUAUAUUCACCGAUGGUCCUUUGGUUGAGGGCAGGGAGUCAUAUUCUUGUUCAGUUCACCUAGAGGCCGAAAGGAUUGUGAAUCUCAAAAGGGUUGCAGUAGCUGUCCCACUACCAAAAUUAGCUCAUUCCCCUCCGCUCAGCUUGUCCCCUCUCGGCCCAAAAUGGAUGCAGAGAGGGAAGAAUGUGGGGGCUCAGAGAGAUUUAGCCAGAGAAAUCGAAAAUGAUUUUCUAGACUUGAAGGAAACGGAAAUAUCGAUAGGUGAAAAUGUUUCUGAACAUGGCGAUAGAAUCAGGGCAAGGGAUGCAACAGGAAAAACUACUAUCUUGCAUGUUAACUUUGAUACGAUGAUCCCUAAGAGGUGUUCAGAUAGAAGACUCCAAAAUUGGGUCCCAGAAUCUGCCCCUGUAUCCCCACGCAUUGGAUGUCUCCGGGGUUUAAGCCUCUUUCCUGUAAGAAGGUCACUAGUUGGCUCCUUCGAGGAGUCCCUUUUAUCUGGUCGCUAUUCGUGUGGAAAAGAUAAGCAGAAUAUUGAUGGUUUUCUGUCUGUCCUGAAUGUGACUGGCGGCAACUUCUCUCCCCCAACUCAGAAGCUUCCAUUUGCAGUAACCAGCAUUGAUGAGGAUAGCUCCCUGCUGUACUACUCGUCGAUUGAUCUUGCUGGGAGGUUGCCUACUAACAACAGCAAAAGCCCAAAACUUAAAAGAAGCUCCAACAAUAAUGAUUCAAGAUCAUCGAGAAGUCGCUUACACAUCCCAAUUAAAGGGCGCAUUCAGCUGGUCGUCAGUAACCCAGAGAAGACACCGCUGCACACCUUCUUUUGCAACUAUGAUUUGAGUGGCAUGCCUGCUGGAACCAAGACUUUCGUGCGGCAAAAGGUCACUCUAUCAUCUGUUCCCCCUUCUAAUCCAGUGAAGGAAGGAAGCGAUGCCAGUCACACAAAGGUCGAGUCAGUCCAAUAUGGAAGUGAACUUAGAGAAUGCGGCACUCUGUUUUCUGAAUGCUGUGAACAGGGGCAGAACUGCUACUCGACUGAUGAAUCAGAGAAGGGAGGUCACACAAACAGAACAUGUUGCUCAAUGGAAUGUGACAUUAGUGAAUCAAAUGAAUUGAGUCCCAUUGGGAGCUCAGGAAGUCGCACUAAUGCUAAUGGUUGCUGCUGUCAAAUAGACAGUGAAAAGAAAUCUUGCUGCAAACCUUCCAAAGUGAAUGAUAGUUCAGCUGGAGGCGUUCUUCGUUAUGCUUUGCACCUGCGUUUUCUGAGCCCCUUUUCCAAGAAAUCAUCAAGAUCGAUGCAGCGGACCAAACCUGGCAUGUCAUCAGAACCACUCAAUCGGAGUACCGCUACAGAGGAAGAGAGGCGAUUUUAUCUCUACAAUGAUAUUAGAGUUGUCUUUCCUCAAAGGCACUCAGAUUCAGACGAAGGCGAGCUGCGGGUUGAGCACGACUUCCCUGCUGAUCCCAAGUACUUCGACAUAAGCAACUGA